GGCCUCGUAGCUCAGUUGGCCAGAGCGUUGCCUAUAUUAAGCCUUCCUCUUGCUGGCGUUAGUUCGAAUCCCACCUAGGCCA
rnacentral:tRNA from 1 species